ACCAACGUAUCGAAAUAACAUGUAAUAAAUUGUAAUACUAUUACACAAUUUAUAUAUCUUUUGACCAAUAGAACAAUGUAAUUCUGCUUUCUAAAUUGAGAGAAAUUUUACCUUCUUCCGCAAUUGAUCGGUACGUCAGAUUAUUGUACAUGAAUAUACGUAUAGUAUUCUGUUCUGAAGCAUUGUAAAAAUUGAUUUACGUUAUUGUUUUUAUUAUUAUUACAGAUUUAUAUUAUAUUAGAUUGUUAUUUCAGAUAUGGAACGGUAAUAGGCAUUUCCACUCGGACAAAGACGUUUCAUAUUUAUAUCAUCAGUUUUGGCAACGUCAAAUAUAAAAGCAAUAUUUCUUCAUCUCGUACAGUGAUAAUAAGAUUUCGAUAUCAUCCAAUUCAAUUGAAAUAAAAGUUUUAUAUCGACGCGGUUUCGCUAACUCUAGUUACAGUGUAUGUACGGUACCUCAACCACUUCCUGAACAAUUUCAAUCCGUGAUAGAUAUACAGGUUGUUACGCCGGGCGACCCUCUGCCUGGCCCAGGUCACACACCGCGGGCCAGACGGACACCAGAUGUCCGCUCUUCCGUACGGCGUACCCUCAAUAGCCUUAAGUAUCUCCCAUAAAUCUCAGGAAUUUCCUAGUAGAGGUCCUUCAAACCAAACAAACGUCUGUUUCCGAAGAAUUUUUAAAGACUCUUGUCUACCACGGCUUGACAAGGGAAAGUUAGUUUUUCUCACGUAUGCUGCAACUUUCCUCCCACUAACCACUUUCUCUCGAGGGCGGUUAAGACCCUUCGUUUAACCAAUUAACAACGAAGCCUAUUCCCUCACUCUCCUAACUAAAAUCGUCACCAACAAAUCCGAUGGUCCCGUGCGCUAGACACACCGAUCCUUAGCUUUCCUCCGACACAGCAUCGUCACUCAACUUCACUUCUUCUACAUCGUUGGAAAAGUCAACUACUAAGUCUACCGCUAAUGCCUAUCGGGGCAGUCUAAGCAUAACGCGAGAGUCGGUCUCGGUAUUGUCGAGCAUACAUUUCCUCUCCUAAAUAUCUUAUAGUACUAUGUCCACUAAUACAUUAAAUCCAAUUAUAAGAGCCCUGCUCUAACGUACAUAUCUAUCUUAUCUUCGUGCGAUAAGUGAUUAUCUAUCUAUCUAUGCUCAUCAGUGUAAUCUAAGUGUUGGAAAUAUAUAAUUUAUAAUUCUGUGAA